CCUCUCGUCUUCCUGCGUGAACUUUGACCCUCGAACCCCUUCCUGCCGUGGGCAGGUGGUGUAUCCUUUUUGCGACCCCAGGUCAGGCGGGG
rnacentral:rRNA from 1 species